ACGGGAGGCAGCAGUGGGGAAUAUUGCACAAUGGGCGAAAGCCUGAUGCAGCGACGCCGCGUGAGCGAAGAAGUAUUUCGGUAUGUAAAGCUCUAUCAGCAGGGAAGAUAAUGACGGUACCUGACUAAGAAGCACCGGCUAAAUACGUGCCAGCAGCCGCGGUAGUACGUAUGGUGCAAGCGUUAUCCGGAUUUACUGGGUGUAAAGGGAGCGUAGGCGGUUUUACAAGUCUGAUGUGAAAGCCCGGGGCUCAACUCCGGUACUGCAUUGGAAACUGUAGAACUAGAGUGUCGGAGGGGUAAGUGGAAUUCCCAGUGUAGCGGUGAAAUGCGUAGAUAUUAGGAGGAACACCAGUGGCGAAGGCGGCUUACUGGACGAUUACUGACGCUGAGGUUCGAAAGCGUGGGGAGCAAACAGGAUUAGAUACCCUGGUA
rnacentral:rRNA from 1 species